rnacentral:rRNA from 1 species
GAUGAACGCUGGCGGCGUGCUUAACACAUGCAAGUCGAACGGAAAGGCCCAAGCUUGCUUGGGUACUCGAGUGGCGAACGGGUGAGUAACACGUGGGUGAUCUGCCCCGCACUUCGGGAUAAGCCUGGGAAACUGGGUCUAAUACCGGAUAGGACAGUGGUUUGGAUGCCAUUGUGGAAAGUUUUUUCGGUGUGGGAUGAGCUCGCGGCCUAUCAGCUUGUUAGUGGGGUAAUGGCCUACCAAGGCGUCGACGGGUAGCCGGCCUGAGAGGGUGUACGGCCACAUUGGGACUGAGAUACGGCCCAGACUCCUACGGGAGGCAGCAGUGGGGAAUAUUGCACAAUGGGCGCAAGCCUGAUGCAGCGACGCCGCGUGGGGGAUGACGGCCUUCGGGUUGUAAACUCCUUUCGCUAGGGACGAAGCGUUAUGUGACGGUACCUAGAGAAGAAGCACCGGCUAACUACGUG